rnacentral:rRNA from 1 species
GACGUAGGGGGCCAGCGUUGCUCGGCAUUACUGGGCGUAAAGGGUUCGUAGGCGGUGCGGCAAGUUGGGAGUGAAAUCUCUGGGCUUAACCCAGAGGCUGCUUCCAAAACUGCCGUGCUAGAGUGCGAGAGAGGCCAGUGGAAUUGCAGGUGUAGCGGUGAAAUGCGUAGAUAUCCGUAGGAACAUCCGAGGCGAAGGCGGCUCGCUGGAUCACAACUGACGCUGAGGGACGAAAGCUAGGGGAGCAAACAGG